AAGCUCCCAUUGUAUGACAUGAAACAGGCUUAAGAGAACACAGCAAGCCAUGCUCGGACCGGAGCUCUGCUGCUGCUGUGAAACAAGCGCAGCUUUAUUCUGCAGCACCGAGGCGACCUCACCCCGAGUUUCCCUUCAGUGGCACCACACAGUCCCAACUGUUUCAGCCUCCGCUCACCUGCACGUCACGCUCCUCGUGUCAAAGCUGUCACAGUUCAUGGACUCCUCAGCUCAGCCGAGUCGUGAACAGGGCGAGGCCAAGGGUGAGUGAGAGGCUGUGAAAAUGUGAACAGGAGUCUGUGCAGCAGAUGGAGGCCUGUGUUUUUGUUUGUUCACUCUUUAUUUCAGUUUGAUUUUAACAAUGAAGCUCCAGAUUCUGUACCAGCUUGUUAAUCACUUUAGCUGUGUCUUUGGUUUGCAGUUUAAUAGAACAGCUUCUGAACUGUGUGGCUUUGGUUACAUUUACCAAAUAGCAUUGUCUCACAUUACUGCAGCACUGAGCUGGAGCAGGAACCAAAGAGGAUGGGGAUUUUGGUUUCCCUCCUUUUUUUAGGAAGUAUUUCUUAAUAUUGCUAGUUAUCAAUCUUGCUUUUAUUUACAGGAUAGCUGCUUGUCAUGUCUGGAUUGUUUGUUUUAGACUCAACUUCUAUAUGUUCACAUCUGUGCAAUUUACAGCACAUGUAGGGUUUUUUUUAUUUGCAAAAAUGUAUUUGUUUAGAGACAUCAUCAUCUCAUUAGAGAAGACCAAUGUUAGCAUGAACAAACCUCAUUUUGUGGCCAGAGAGGGAGUCGGGGGUCGCGGCACACUUCACACUCUUGCUGGGAGGUGGCUGUUGACGGAUAUACAUCUGGAGACAGUUAGCAAUCACACCAAAACUCACGCAUAGGGAGCUUAGAGUCACCACAGAGGAAAUUCCUUCCUCCACAGGGGGAUUUAAACAUUUUCAUUCUUCUAUUAUUUGCCUUAGAAGAGUUAUACCUGGCUUUUUUUUUUGCUUACUGAUAACUGCAUCUUUUUUUUGCAGAAGCUUAUCCUCACACUGAAAUAUUGUUUUUAAAAUCUAACAUUUAACUUUAGUACAUCAAAACCCCACACUAAGAAAGAUAAAUACUAUUUUUUUAUCACUGGUGCCACAAGUUAUACAUCCCUGAUGUGCAAACAACACUUCACAUAGUUGGAGCACAGAGAGAUUUCUGACCAUUUAUUUUUGCACAGUCUCUCUUGAUUGCCCAGACUCCUGGCUUUUCUUGUCAGGAUCUGUGUUGUCUUGUUGUUGUUGCACUGUGCUUGGCCUCUAGGUGGCUCUGAGUUCGUGAGGAGGGGUGGCAGGUGUCCCAUAUUCCCUAAUCAUCCCUGAAGGAUACUUAAGACGGAGGCCGCCAGCAGUUCAGCGCCAGAGUGUUGCCCUCAGUGACUGGAUUCCUAUGCCUGACCUUGUCUUUGAAGAAUCCUCAUCAACUUGGAUGUUUUUGUCACUGGAGAAGGAUUUCGUAGCCACGUGGAUUAUACCUGGAUUGCCAACACUUUGCUUCCUAAGUUACUGGCUGGCGGCCAUUCCGACGGUGCCUUUCCUGGAACAACUAUGGACCACCACAAGCAAACCCCGUCCACACAAUAACAUCAGCCGAGCCUCAGAGUACCUCAAAGUGAGUCCAAGUACCUACCAGCUCCGUUCAUCUUGGUGUGCAGUUCCAUUGUUGCCUCAACCCCUCCUGGCGGAUCAAACUCUACUCCCUAUUGUCUUCUGGUUCAAGCUCCCCUUCCCUUUAUCUGCUCACUGUAAAAUAAAACCUCU